UUAUGGCUUUCUGCCACUAGGCUGAGAGUGGACCACAUAUACAGAAAUAAAAAACUAUUAAUAGAAAAAUAUAUUGCAAACAUCUAAUCCUCAAACCCCAUUCAAGUUUUGCCAACUACCCUCCAUCCUAUCAAAUAUUCCUUAUACCAAAAAGAUCCAGUUCAAAAAUAAGUGUUGCAUUUAUUUUUUAACCUCUUUUGAUCUGGAAUAGCUCCUCACACCGUCUUUCAUGACUUUAGUGCUUUGGAAGACUACAGUAUUCUUUAUAUCUGAAAAAUAAAGGAAUUUCUACUUUCUGGCUUAAUAUAAUAAGAUGUUUAGGCUCAUCUGAAAUUUCCCUGCCGUCACCUGGGAAUCAACCAUUUCUUCAGGGAGUCCUAGUUUCUUUUAGCGGUCAAGUCUGCAUUCUGGGAUAAAGUGUUGACACAAUCUUGAAUCAGUGCCUAAGGAGUUCACAAGUCCAGAGAGGGGAUAGCGCAUAGAGAAGAUAAAGCAGAUGUCCAUCCAAAGACUUGUAUGUGAAUGUUCAUAGCAACUUUAUUUGUAAUAGCCAAAACCUGAAAGCAACCCAAAUGUAUGUUAAGAAGCGAAUGGAUACAUAAAUUGUGGCAUAUGCAUACAAUGGGAUACCCAGCAAUAAAAAGGAAUGAACUAUUCAAGUAGGCAACAAAAGAUAAGAGAGCUGAAGAAGAGUGAAAAUAAAGAAACUUCUGCAAAGCCACACAUGUAAAAUAUAUUUCUGGCAACAGUGGAGAAGAAUGAUAGGAAGAGAAUCAUACUGGAAUAGUAUAGUCCUUUGGAAUGUUGUUGUAAUGAAGGCAAGAAGAAAAAUGAUCUUGAAGGCAAGAAGAAAAAUCAUAUUGAAGGAAAGGAGAGAUGAGUUUACCAAAUAUAAUCUCAGAAUUGUUCUGUAAAUUUCAUUUCUGCUUUAGCAGCCAUAAAGAGCUCCAUUUAUUACAGUAGGAACAGAGGCAACAGCAACAUGGGUGGCUGGCAGUGAUAGAAAGGAUUUUAGUUUUGAUACAUGGAAUUUGACAUGCUUUUUGAAAAUCUUCAGAUGGUGAUGUACAAACUACUGCAGGAACAUAUGAGGAAAGAUGAGAGAAUCCACAGACUCUUUGAAGGAAGCAGAUUGCUCCUGCAGGGCCUGGGAGACAACCAAACACUGGGUCCUUAGGGAGAGGUGCCAGAGGAAUUGGAAAAAGGCCACAGGCAGAAGGAAGGCUCCAGCUAAACUUGAUUGACCCAUCAUUUGGAUGACCCGAAACCACAGAUGCAAUAGAAGAAUGGAACAAAUUUGUACAUUUUGUCAAUAAAAACUUUAUCUUC
rnacentral:lncRNA from 10 species